rnacentral:ncRNA from 1 species
UCUUAUCAAGAGUGGCGGAGGGACUGGCCCGUUGAUGCCACAGCAACCUGCUUCUUGCAAGGUGCUAAUUCCUGCGGAUUUUUCCGAGUGAUGAG